UUCAUACUAAAAGGGUCUUAAGAAGUCAAAGGGUCCCAGGCAUGCAGGCUGACGCCAAGUGGCGAAUUAAGGAACUGCAUUAUGGUGAGGUCAUCUCCCCCUUGUUAUUUUACACAUACUGGGAGGUGAAAAAUCCAUAGGAUUGGAAAACAAUGCUAAUGCACUCUUGUAAAGCUGUAGCAUAUAUGGAGGAGAUUUUUUCGUUUGGCCUACAUAUCCACUGGUCGCUUAUGUCAAUGUGUUGACUAAAGAGCCACACAUCCAAACCCACUAGCACCUUGUCUUUUUUGUCUUUCUGGGAUGCACCCCAUUAUUCUGUCAUCACUUCAUUGUACAACCCAUAAUUUACCAUCCCUCCAUAGUGCACCUGCACCUCAUCAAUUACCAUUAGAUCAUAAACAUAUUCUGUGCAUACACAAUUUUUCUUUAGAUCUAUUUUUUCUUGAAAGGAAGGGUGGAAGAUAAGAUUAUGAAAUUAUCGUCGUGAAUGGAAGUGUACCAUUCUGAAAAAAACUGCAUUGAAUCAAGUUCUUUUAUUUUUUGCUAUAUUUUAAACUCCUAAGCCAGUCAACACAUACUCACUCUAAAACAGGUAACAAUAUGAUUAAUACUGACCAAGUUGCCAUUCCCGUCGGUAAAUGGUCUCAUGUACAAUAUGAGUUAAAGCUCUGUUUGGGGAAAAUUCUAAUAAUCUGAGAACUGAAGUCAAUAUCUGGGAGUUACUUUUGGUUUCAUUAACUGUAGCAAAGGGGGAGACACCGGCACCACACACACUUACUUAUUUUUUACAUCUCAGAUGAAAGCUUUUGAACCGAAGAGGGCCUCUUUAUGUUUACCAGAGAAAUGAGGCAAUAACUUUGCGAAAUUGACCUGGUUUUGUCUUAUUAAUAUUCUAUGGCAUAAAAGAUGAAAAACACACAUUAGAGGUGUUUGAGGCCAUUAGCCUUGGGUUUCUAUUAGAAAUCCUAGGUUGGCUACCUUGUGUUUUAAUAGACGUCUUAGGUUGGCUACCUUGUGUUCUUUUUAUAGAAGUCUUAGGUUGGCCAUCUUGUGUUUUAAUAGACUUAUUGGGUUGGCUCCCUUGGGUCUUUUUACACUGUGUCAAGUGGCUUAGGAUUCAAGUGCUAUCCUUCGAGACCUAUUUAUGUUUCCAGCAUUUUAGCUAUUGAGAAUCAAAUAAACGAUUAAAUUGACAAAAUAAUAGGGUGCAUUUAACGACAGUGUAAAUUAAUGCGGAGAAACAGGUUUAUUUGAUCACCCCUUGUAGCGGGAGUGUUCUUUAAGUUCCUUGAUUUGUCUUAGCCUAAAACAGGAUUUUGAGAGUUAUUUUUCAUUUGCUCGUCUAACACAACUAUGUUUGCAUAGACAUCACACACACACACACACACACACACACACACACACACACACACACACACACACACACACACACACACACACACACACACACACACACACACACACACACAC